rnacentral:rRNA from 1 species
CCUACGGGAGGCAGCAGUGAGGAAUAUUGGUCAAUGGGCGCGAGCCUGAACCAGCCAAGUAGCGUGAAGGAUGACUGCCCUACGGGUUGUAAACUUCUUUUAUAAAGGAAUAAAGUGAGGCACGUUUGCCUUUUUGUAUGUACUUUAUGAAUAAGGAUCGGCUAACUCCGUGCCAGCAGCCGCGUUAACACGGAGGUGCCGAGCGUUAUCCGGAUUUAUUGUGUUUAAAGGGAGCGUAGAUGGGUUGUUAAGUCAGUUGUGAAAGUUUGCGGCUCAACCGUAAAAUUGCAAUUGAUACUGGCAGCCUCGAGUACAAUUGAGGUAGGCGGAAUUCGUGGUGUAGCGGUGAAAUGCUUAGAUAUCACGCAGAACUCCGAUUGCGAAGGCAGCUUACUAAACUGCCACUGACAUUGAUGCUCGAAAGUGUGGGUAUCAAACAGGAUUAGAUACCCGAGUAGUC